UCAAAAAGGGGAGCUCAUGUAAGUGGGCUGAGAGUAAGCUGUGUGCUUUGACCCAAAACCUGAUUUGGAUAAUGCCAACGUAGGGACAUACAUAUGUA
rnacentral:ncRNA from 1 species